ensembl:lncRNA
CACUUAGUCUAGUGUAGUUCUUGAAGUGCCCCAUGCAGGUUUGUGUGUGUUGGAGAACACACCAUGACUGCCAUGUUUCAUUUCAUUCAUUCACAGUUGCAGAAAGCAACAGUGUCCCAGAUACAAGAAAGUAGAAGCACUGUCUGUAGGUAAUUCCCUCUAAGAUUCCCUUAAAGACAUUAAAAUGUGAACUCUAGAAAUCAACUUUCAGAUGGGUUAGUGCUGUGUCUGGCAGCUGUCAUUCUUCUCAGACCGCAAAGGUUCAGUUAGCAGAGCCUGUUUCUUGCUUCAUUGUCCAGGGGUGGUGCGGUAUCUGCAGGGGCUCUGUCCUGCUCCACAAGUGUUCCCUUCCUUCUUCUGUUCUGUGUCCCACCCUAAAAAUUCACAGAAGCACUUAGUGGCUAAAAGGGUAUCGUUCCUUCUGUACGCACAUGUCAAGGAUGAGGAGGCCCUUCCCCUCACCUCCUUUAAAAAAAUGAUACGCCCACCAGUAGCUUUAUACUGGGUCAGGCUAGUAAGUGCUGAAUCAGUAUUCUAGCAGAUGACUCUUUCUAUGGAGUCCUCUUUUUGUGUUGGGGGAAUUACUUAUACAUACACCCAACAGCUGUGACAUCAAUAAAGGGAAGCUGGUGAUGCAAGGCUAUUUUUCACCUUUAUCACACUUGUUUCUUGUCCACAAUAUUGAGGCUUAUGGAAGAAACAAUGCAUGCGAUAGUGUUUACCAACAUAAGGAUCAUUAUCUGUUGCCAGAGCCACAGGGGAGUCUUCAAUUCACUAGAAAAGGACAAAAACAUCGAAGGUGACUAAUUGUUCUGUCUUAAGGCAUGUCUAUAGUUCCAUGCAGGUUGAGAAGACACUCAUUUCUCUUUACAAUAUUCCACUAAUGUGCUGCUGAUAUGCAUUCCCACCUGGACUUCGUUCUGAGACUGUGCCCAACAAGAAGAUUUGAAAGGCCAACUCCAAUCAUCUGAACAGAAGUUGCAAGCAUUAUAGCUGUUCCUUAAGUUGCUUGGGGGACCACAGGAUGUACAGAUGGCCUGGCAGGAGUAAUGAAAAGAAGAAUUAAAGAGUUAUUAUUUCC